rnacentral:rRNA from 1 species
GAUGAACGCUGGCGGCGUGCCUAACACAUGCAAGUCGAGCGAUUCUCUUCGGAGAAGAGCGGCGGACGGGUGAGUAACGCGUGGGUAACCUGCCCUGUACACACGGAUAACAUACCGAAAGGUAUGCUAAUACGAGAUAAUAUACUUUUAUCGCAUGGUAGAAGUAUCAAAGCUCCGGCGGUACAGGAUGGACCCGCGUCUGAUUAGCUAGUUGGUAAGGUAACGGCUUACCAAGGCGACGAUCAGUAGCCGACCUGAGAGGGUGAUCGGCCACAUUGGAACUGAGACACGGUCCAAACUCCUACGGGAGGCAGCAGUGGGGAAUAUUGCACAAUGGGCGAAAGCCUGAUGCAGCAACGCCGCGUGAGCGAUGAAGGCCUUCGGGUCGUAAAGCUCUGUCCUCAAGGAAGAUAAUGACGGUACUUGAGGAGGAAGCCCCGGCUAACUACGUGCCAGCCGCCGCGGUAA